UAGCUCAGUUGGUAGAGCGGAGGACU
rnacentral:piRNA from 2 species